GACGAACCGUGCAAACGUUGUUCGGAAUCACUGGGCUUAAAGGGCGCGUAGGCGGCUCGCCAAGUCGGGGGUGAAAUCUUUCGGCUCAACCGGAAAAGUGCCUUCGAUACUGGCGGGCUGGAGGGAGGUAGGGGCAUGUGGAACUUCCGGUGGAGCGGUGAAAUGCGUUGAUAUCGGAAGGAACGCCGGUGGCGAAAGCGACGUGCUGGACCUCUUUUGACGCUGAGGCGCGAAAGCUAGGGGAGCGAACGGG
rnacentral:rRNA from 1 species